GACAGAGGGUGCAAACGUUGCUCGGAAUCACUGGGCGUAAAGGGCGCGUAGGCGGGGAUGUAAGUCGGGCGUGAAAUCCCUAGGCUCAACCUAGGAACUGCACUCGAAACUGCGUUUCUUGAGUAUCGGAGAGGAAAGCGGAAUUCCUGGUGUAGAGGUGAAAUUCGUAGAUAUCAGGAGGAACACCAGUGGCGAAGGCGGCUUUCUGGACGGUAACUGACGCUGAGGCGCGAAAGCGUGGGGAGCAAACAGG
rnacentral:rRNA from 1 species